rnacentral:lncRNA from 1 species
CUCAGCGCGGCCGGCGGCGCCCUCAGACCGGCGGGCCGGGUCUCGUCUCCGCCCCCCGGUCGCCUCCGCCCCGAGCGCGGCUCUUCAGGUGAAACCUGAGGCCCGUCCCAUAGCGCAACUCAUUGAAAGCGAUUUUAUCGGAGACCAAGGAAAUAUGGUUUAACACUGAAACUUUCUAAAAUUUUGGCUGACUCAGAGAAUACAUCUAGAAAAUCCAGAUGAGUGCAAGUCCUUCAGACAAUUCUCCGUUAAGAUCGCCUCCUGGAACCAGACUUUUCAUAAGGGUUGGGAGCAGGUCAUUGGAGUUCUGUCUUCUCUCGAGGCCUGAAGGGACGUUGUUCUAUUGUGUUCAUUUAGAGUGGAAACGUAUACUACAGCUAUCAAAGGAGAUUUUUUUACAAGCUUUUAUGAAGAUUGAGGCAUCUUACCAAAACCUCUUCCGGUUAUAGGUCCUUCUAGUUCUGCUACGCGGGACGCCACCUCAGCAUGGCCGGGUGACCAGAUGAGCGGUGCUGGGUCUGCACCCAGGAUCCGAACCAGCGAACCUCGGGUGCCAAAGCAGAGCGCGUGAACUUAAGCACUCGGCCACAGGGCCAGCCCCUAAGCAUGAAGUUUAAAUGGAAUGUUUAACAACUGGGUAACGAUCAGUGGAGGGUUGACUGAGCUCCCAGGACUCCAACUCCACCAGCCUCCCAGGUGACGUCCUGAGACAGUGCUUCUCAGACCCUCCUCCUCAGGCUCGGCGGGCAUGCCCUUGAGGGAUAAUAAGUGUACCCCAAAAGCACCAGUCCUAAAUGCAUAGCCUGAUGAAUUAUUGCAUAUGUAUCCCCUUGUGUCAUCACCACCUAGAUCAGGAUAAAGAAAACUUCCAGCACCUCACAAGAGUCCCUCUUGCUUCUUCCCAGUCUGCAUCCCAACCCAACGGGAGCAUUUUCUAGAUUGCAAAAAUAACAAACUCCUAGCUGACUCUUCGGUAACGGGAACUGUCGUGAAUCCUUAAAGGACAUGAAUAAGUCACGGAGAGGGUCUGCGUCACACCGGACGUGCGACUGUGAAUGGAAAGACCGAUGUCAGGCUUUCAGACUCGGAAAAAUAAAGAAAUUCGGCGUCAAAGAGGUUAAGAAACAGUCAAAGGCCGUCCAGUUACAGGCUCAGUAAAAAUUCCAACCCAGCUCGUCGAACUCCACAGCAGCCGCUUAGCCUACCAUCCCGCACUGCGCCUCCCAGAAGCAGUGGGCUGCUGCCCCUGAGUGCCCCCAGAUCAACCCAGACUUAGUCACUGGCAGCACCUGUGUACUCAUUUAUUCUUCAGUCGUGCCCAGCUUGGGGACCGAUUUCCAUGGAGAUUACCUAGAGCUUUGUGCAGAACAGCUGCAGUCCAGGCUUUGCUGUGGUGAUUGUCUUCUGCCGGUCCCUGUGUGCUGUCACGGCCGCAAUGCUGACGGAGCUGCUCAGGAAGCCAGAUGAGAGCUUGGUGACACUGCGAAGAUGCUGGUGGCAGAUGGAGUGGCAGAGCAGGCAGCAAGCAAGCUGGAAUAUGGAUGUUCUGUCUCGGGAAAGGUUUUGCACAGCAGAAAAGAAGCGGGGUCAGAAACAAGUGCCAGAGGCAGGCAUGCAACUGUGGGCCAAGUGACAUCCUGCAUGCCAGGAGGAGGACGGCAUCGGCCACGUUCCCACACAGACUGGGGACUCCGGGGAAGAAAGACACUCUCCAUUUUUUCACGUGCUUCACGUGGAAGCUUUCUGUGAGAGGAAAUCUGCGGUAUUGGGGGAACCCAUUCCCGUGUGUGCUGUGUACAACUGGAGGUAUUUUAAGGGGGUGGAAACUUACUGCCUACCCACUCUUUGUACAGAUGUGCUCCUGUUGAUUAAAGGAAUUGGCCCUAGCGUCCUUUUUGCUUUCCUUCAUUGAUCCACAUCCCUGAUUUUAAGUCAUUUUGUGAAAACAGAAUUCGCACUUAACGAAAAAACCAGGAAGGUUUUGGGAGCAGUUUCUCUUGAGCCAGUUAGAAAUUGUAAAAUCCUGUCUCUGCAUCAAUUCCACGACAUUAAAAGUACAGUCUGUACAAUGAAGGUCUCAGAAAAUGAUGCUAUUUAUUACCUUUUCA